AACUCAAAGAAAUUGACGGGGGCCCGCACAAGCGGCGGAGCAUGCGGAUUAAUUCGAUGCAACGCGAAGAACCUUACCUGGGCUUGACAUGUUCCCGACGGCCGUAGAGAUACGGCUUCCCUUCGGGGCGGGUUCACAGGUGGUGCAUGGUCGUCGUCAGCUCGUGUCGUGAGAUGUUGGGUUAAGUCCCGCAACGAGCGCAACCCUCGCCCCGUGUUGCCAGCGGAUUAUGCCGGGAACUCACGGGGGACCGCCGGGGUUAACUCGGAGGAAGGUGGGGAUGACGUCAGAUCAUCAUGCCCCUUACGUCCAGGGCUUCACGCAUGCUACAAUGGCCGGUACAACGGGAUGCGACGCGGCGACGCGGAGCGGAUCCCUGAAAACCGGUCUCAGUUCGGAUCGCAGUCUGCAACUCGACUGCGUGAAGGCGGAGUCGCUAGUAAUCGCGAAUCAGCAACGUCGCGGUGAAUGCGUUCCCGGGCCUUGUACACACCGCCCGUCAAGUCAUGAAAGUGGGCAGCACCCGAAGCCGGUGGCCUAACCCCUUGUGGGAUGGAGCCGUCUAAGGUGAGGCUCGUGAUUGGGACUAAGUCGUAACAAGGUAGCCGUACCGGAAGGUGCGGCUGGAUCACCUCCUUU
rnacentral:rRNA from 1 species